rfam:Rattus norvegicus chromosome 7, whole genome shotgun sequence.
UAGCUCAGUGGUAGAGCGCUUGCCUAGCAAGCACAAGGCCCUGGGUUCGGUUCCCAG